CGCCAGACUCCUACGGGAGGCAGCAGUAGGGAAUCUUCGGCAAUGGACGAAAGUCUGACCCAGCAACGCCGCGUGAAGGAAGAAGGCUUUCGGGUUGUAAACUUCUUUUAUCAGGGACGAAGCAAGUGACGGUACCUGAUGAAUAAGCCACGGCUAACUACGUGCCAGCAGCCGCGGUAAUACGUAGGUGGCAAGCGUUAUCCGGAUUUACUGGGUGUAAAGGGCGUGUAGGCGGGAGUGCAAGUCAGAUGUGAAAACUAUGGGCUCAACCCAUAGCCUGCAUUUGAAACUGUACUUCUUGAGUGCUGGAGAGGCAAUCGGAAUUCCGUGUGUAGCGGUGAAAUGCGUAGAUAUACGGAGGAACACCAGUGGCGAAGGCGGAUUGCUGGACAGUAACUGACGCUGAGGCGCGAAAGCGUGGGGAGCAAACAGGAUUAGAUACCCCCGUAGC
rnacentral:rRNA from 1 species